AUUGAACGCUGGCGGCAGGCCUAACACAUGCAAGUCGAGCGAGCGGCGGACGGGUGAGUAAUGCCUAGGAAUCUGCCUGGUAGUGGGGGAUAACGUCCGGAAACGGGCGCUAAUACCGCAUACCAUCGGAUGUGCCCAGAUGGGAUUAGCUAGUAGGUGGGUUAACGGCUCACCUAGGCGACGAUCCCUAGCUGGUCUGAGAGCAUGACCAGCCACACUGCACCUGAGACACGGUCCAGAAGCCUACGUGAGGCAGAAGUGGGGAAUAUUGCACAAUGGGCGCAAGUCUGAUGCAGCCAUGCCGCGUGUAUGAAGAAGGCCGUCGGGUUGUAAAGUACUGUCAGCGAGGAGGCGUUACUCGCAGAAGAAGCACCGGCUAACUCCGUGCCAGCAGCCGCGGUAAUAC
rnacentral:rRNA from 1 species